rnacentral:rRNA from 1 species
AUUGAACGCUGGCGGCAUGCCUUACACAUGCAAGUCGAACGGCAGCACGGGAGCAAUCCUGGUGGCGAGUGGCGAACGGGUGAGUAAAGUAUCGGAACGUGCCCAGUCGUGGGGGAUAACGUAGCGAAAGUUACGCUAAUACCGCAUACGACCUAUGGAUGAAAGCGGGGGAUCGCAAGACCUCGCGCGAUUGGAGCGGCCGAUAUCAGAUUAGGUAGUUGGUGGGGUAAAGGCUCACCAAGCUGACGAUCUGUAGCUGGUCUGAGAGGACGACCAGCCACACUGGGACUGAGACACGGCCCAGACUCCUACGGGAGGCAGCAGUGGGGAAUUUUGGACAUUGGGCGAAAGCCUGGUCCAGCCAUGCCGCGUGCAGGAUGAAGGCCUUCGGGUUGUAAACUGCUUUUGUACGGAACGAAAAGGUUUGGCCUAAUAAGCUGAGCUCAUGACGGUACCGUAAGAAUAAGCACCGGCUAACUACGUGCCAGCCGCCGCCGUAA